CGGUAAUUCCAGCUCCAAUAGCGUAUAUUAAAAUUGUUGCGGUUAAAACGCUCGUAGUUGGAUAUUUGUUGAAGAAUGUCGGUCCACCCAAGCGGAGCGUACUCGAUAUGUCUUCGACUUCUUACUGGGGACAGUAAUUCCACUUUAUUGCGGGGUUACACGAUCCAGAACUUUUACUUUGAGGAAAUGAGAGUGUUUCAAGCAGGUCAAGCCAUGAAUACGUUACCAUGGAAUAAUAGCAUAGGACCUUGUGUCGUAGCUGUUGGUUGACGGCAUAAGGUAAUAAAAAUAGGGAUAGUUGGGGGCAUUCGUAUUGCAAUGUCAGAGGUGAAAUUCUUGGAUUUUUGCAAGACGGACUACUGCGAAAGCAUUUGCCAAGGAUGUUUUUAUUAAUCAAGAACGAAAGUUAGGGGAUUGAAGACGAUCAGAUUCCGUUGUAGUCUUGACCAUAAACUAUGCUGACUAGGGAUUGGAGGAUGUCAUCAUUAGAUUCCUUCAGCAACUUGAGAGAAAUCAAAGUCUUUGGGUUCCGGGGGGAGUAUGGUCGCAAGGCUGAAACUUAAAGGAAUUGACGGAAGGGCACCACCAGGAGUGGAGCCUGCGGCUUAAUUUGACUCAACACGGGGAAACUUACCAGGUCCAGACAUAGGAAGGAUUGACAGAAUGAUAGCUCUUUCUUGAUUCUAUGGGUGGUGGUGCAUGGCCGUUCUUAGUUGGUGGAGUGAUUUGUCUGGUUAAUUCCGAUAACGAUCGAGACCUUAACCUGCUAAAUAGUCUCAUGAAGCUUAGCCUUCGUGGUAACUUCUUAGAGGGACCUUUUGUGUGGAAUAAAAGGAAGUGUGAGGCAAUAACAGGUCUGUGAUGCGCUUAGAUGUUCUGGGCUGCACGCGCCAUACCUGACUGCGUCCAACGAGUACCCCACCCGGUCCGAAAGGAUUGGGUAAUCUUGUGAAAGCGCAUCGUGAGGGGAUAGAUUAUUGCAAUUAUUAAUCUUGAACGAGGAAUUCCUAGUAAGCGCAAGUCAACAGCUCGUGCUGAUUUCGUCCCUGGCCUUAGUACACACCCCCCGUCGCUCCUACCGAUAGAGUGGUCCGGUGAAUACUUCGGACUGCUGGUCUUUGAUCGCAAGAUCGAUUACUGCGGGAAGUUGAGUAAACCUCAUCACUUAGAGGAAGGAGAAGUCGUAACAAGGUAACC
rnacentral:rRNA from 1 species